rnacentral:rRNA from 1 species
GUGGGGAAUUUUGGACAAUGGGCGCAAGCCUGAUCCAGCAAUGCCGCGUGCAGGAAGAAGGCCUUCGGGUUGUAAACUGCUUUUGUACGGAACGAAAAGGCUCUGGUUAAUACCUGGGGCUCAUGACGGUACCGUAAGAAUAAGCACCGGCUAACUACGUGCCAGCAGCCGCGGUAAUACGUAGGGUGCAAGCGUUAAUCGGAAUUACUGGGCGUAAAGCGUGCGCAGGCGGUUUUGUAAGACAGGCGUGAAAUCCCCGGGCUCAACCUGGGAAUGGCGCUUGUGACUGCAAAGCUGGAGUGCGGCAGAGGGGGAUGGAAUUCCGCGUGUAGCAGUGAAAUGCGUAGAUAUGCGGAGGAACACCGAUGGCGAAGGCAAUCCCCUGGGCCUGCACUGACGCUCAUGCACGAAAGCGUGGGGAGCAAACAGGAUUAGAUACCCUAGUAGUCC